rnacentral:rRNA from 1 species
UUGGCUUUUAAUUAGAGUCUGGAAUGAAUGGAUUUUUAAAGUUAAGCUGUCAUAAGUAAUACUAAUUUUAACUUAUUUAUUUGGUGAAAAUACCAAAAUUUUUUUAAAAAGACGAGAAGACCCUAAGAAUUUAUAUUUUUUUUUGUUGGGGCGACAAAAAGACAUUUUUAACUCUUUGUUUUCUUUUUUAUAUAACGAAAUUUUUAAUAAUAAACAAAUUACCUUAGGGAUAACAGCAUAAUUAGUUUUUUUACUGUUUAUNACCUCGAUGUUGGACUAGAAUCUUUUUUAGCUAGUCGCUAAAAAAUAAUGUUCUGUUCGAACAAAAUAUUUUCU